UACGUAGGGUGCAAGCGUUAAUCGGAAUUACUGGGCGUAAAGCGUGCGCAGGCGGUUAUGUAAGACAGUUGUGAAAUCCCCGGGCUCAACCUGGGAACUGCAUCUGUGACUGCAUAGCUAGAGUACGGUAGAGGGGGAUGGAAUUCCGCGUGUAGCAGUGAAAUGCGUAGAUAUGCGGAGGAACACCGAUGGCGAAGGCAAUCCCCUGGA
rnacentral:rRNA from 1 species